CACGUAGGGCGCAAGCGUUGUCCGGAAUUAUUGGGCGUAAAGAGCUCGUAGGUGGUUUGUUACGUCUGCUGUGAAAACCUAGGGCUUAACCCUGGGCGUGCGGGCGAUACGGGCAGACUGGAGUACUGCAGGGGAGACUGGAAUUCCUGGUGUAGCGGUGAAAUGCGCAGAUAUCAGGAGGAACACCGGUGGCGAAGGCGGGUCUCUGGGCCGAUACUGACGCUGAGGAGCGAAAGCGUGGGGAGCGAACAGG
rnacentral:rRNA from 1 species